CGGGUGAGGAAUGCAUGGGUAACCUGUCCUUGAGAAGGGAAUAACCCGCCGAAAGGUGAGCUAAUACCCUAUACGCUUCGCUUUUUUUGAAAAGUGAAGGAAAGUCAAGCCGUGGGCUUGGCGCUCUCGGAGGGGCUCAUGUCCUAUCAGCUUGUUGGUGGGGUAACGGCCUACCAAGGCUACGACGGGUAGCUGGUCUGAGAGGAUGAUCAGCCACACUGGCACUGAGAUACGGGCCAG
rnacentral:rRNA from 1 species